rnacentral:misc_RNA from 1 species
GGACACUCUUGCUUUCUAAAAUACAUAGUGGGAAUGAAUGUGGACUUCCUUUUUUGAGGAUUUUAAAUAAUUUGUGCCUUUGAACCCAUGACGUCCACAAUCAGACCUUAAUUAUCAUGUACAAACAAGUGCCACAUCACACUCUACUUUCCAUGUCUUGUCUUUUGCACAGGUUCUCAGCCUCUUAUUUGCCAACUUCUACUUUCUCUUGUUAUUGGCCGUAUGGGCUCCUCUUUCUUCUUUUGUUCUAUAUGCUUUUUUUU